AUACGGAGGGUCCGAGCGUUAUCCGGAAUCAUUGGGUUUAAAGGGUCCGCAGGCGGUCAAUUAAGUCAGAGGUGAAAGCCCAUCGCUCAACGAUGGAACUGCCUUUGAUACUGGUUGACUUGAGUUAUACGGAAGUAGAUAGAAUAAGUAGUGUAGCGGUGAAAUGCAUAGAUAUUACUUAGAAUACCGAUUGCGAAGGCAGUCUACUACGUAUAUACUGACGCUGAGGGACGAAAGCGUGGGGAGCGAACAGGAUUAGAUACCCUAGUAGUCC
rnacentral:rRNA from 1 species